AUUGAACGCUGGCGGCAUGCUUUACACAUGCAAGUCGGACGAGUGGCGAACGGGUGAGUAACGCAUCGGAACGUACCGAGUAAUGGGGGAUAACUGUCCGAAAGGACAGCUAAUACAGCAUAUUAUUCGAGCGGCCGAUGUCUCCUUAGCUGUUGGGCGGGGUAAAGGCACACCAAGGCGACGAUCAGUAGCGGGUCUGAGAGGAUGAUCCGCCACACUGGGACUUAGACACGGCCCAGACUCCGACGUGAGGCAGCAGUGGGGAAUUUUGUACAAGGGGCGCAAGCCUGAUCCAGCCAUGCCGCGUGUCUGAAGAAGGCCUUCUGUGUGUAAAGGACUGUUGUCAGGGAAGCGGUACCUGAAGAAUAAGCACCGGCUAACUACGUGCCAGCAGCCGCGGUAAUAC
rnacentral:rRNA from 1 species